rnacentral:lncRNA from 1 species
AUGGAUCCCUUACAAAACGCGAAAGUUAAACAAUACGUGCUAAAACACUCUCUGCCGCAAAUUUAUCAGGCCCUGUUGACAGCUUCAUGUUUGUCAAGCCCAAAUGAUCCAAUACAGUUUCUGGAAAAUAAACUUGUUGCCCUUCAAGGACAUCAUAAUCUCCACGACAUUGACUGGUACACAUUUGCUCAUGAUGCAGAAAACCAAAUAGCAAAAACCUCAUUGACACGUGGCAGGGUGCGUUCCAUCUUCAAGGAGGCCGAAGACUCGCUGCCCACAUAUCUGUUAGAGAAAGUCUACUCCUGUUACCGAAGACAUCUAACAAAGUAUUGCUUCAGACAAUGGGUGAAGUACAUCACACAAAGGAAGAGGAAGGCCUACGAGCUUCACCAGAAGAUGAGGUCGGCUGGAGAGCACUACGGGAGGAAACGGCAGGGCCUAGCACUCACAAGUUGGAUCAGCUGGUUAGGAUUCAGAAAGAGCGUCCAAGCAGCGGUCUUUGAGAAGCUUCAGAAAGUGUUCAAUGGCAUCCGCUUUAAACGCAUAAUAACCAUAUGGAGCUUUGCUGUGAAGGAAUCAAAGAGGACCAAGGAAUACUUGGAGGUUUGA